rnacentral:rRNA from 1 species
AUUGAACGCUGGCGGCAGGCCUAACACAUGCAAGUCGAACGAGUGGCGGACGGGUGAGUAAUGUCUGGGAAACUGCCUGAUGGAGGGGGAUAACUACUGGAAACGGUAGCUAAUACCGCAUACCAUCGGAUGUGCACAGAUGGGAUUAGCUAGUAGGUGGGGUAACGGCUCACCUAGGCGACGAUCCCUAGCUGGUCUGAGAGGAUGCCCAGCCACACUGGAACUGAGACACGGUCCAGACUCCGACGGGAGGCAGCAGUGGGGAAUAUUGCACAAUGGGCGAAAGCCUGAUUCAGCCAUGCCGCGUGUAUGAAGAAGGCCUUAGGAUUGUAAAGUACUUUCAGCGGGGAGGCGUUACCCACAGAAGAAGCACCGGCUAACUCCGUGCCAGCCGCCGCGGUAAUUC